CAAUAGCGUAUAUUAAAGUUGUUGCAGUUAAAAAGCUCGUAGUUGGAUUUGUGGCGUACGGUGUGUUCCGGGCACUUGUUGCCUGAGUAACCUGCUGUUGCCAUCCUUGGGUGGAACCUGUGUGGCAUUAGGUUGUCGUGCAGGGGAUGCCCAUCAUUUACUGUGAAAAAAUUAGAGUGUUCAAAGCAGGCUUAUGCCGUUGAAUAUAUUAGCAUGGAAUAAUGAGAUAGGACUUUUUUGCUAUUUUGUUGGUUUGCGCAAAGAGGUAAUGAUUAAUAGGGACAGUUGGGGGUAUUCGUAUUCCAUUGUCAGAGGUGAAAUUCUUGGAUUUUUGGAAGACGAACUACUGCGAAAGCAUUUACCAAGGAUGUUUUCAUUAAC
rnacentral:rRNA from 1 species